rnacentral:lncRNA from 1 species
CACCCUUUUCAAUUCACCAAAUUCGUUUUUAUAAAGUGUUUUAUGCAAAGUUUCUGUUUUAAGUUUUAAAUUCGUCAAAAACAAUCCCCCUUUCAUUAAGUCUGUUUUCUUUUAAUCUUUUGAGUCAAGUUAAGUUUAUUUUCGUCAAAAUCACUUGUUAGGUCUAGAAUUGAGUAUUUUUUAUUGUUUGUUGCUGUUUUGAGUCAUUUAAGUCAGUUUUAAAUUUAUAGAGUCUAGUUUAGUAUUUUUAAGUCUUAUUUGUGUUGAUUAGCAUCCUUAGUUAAUCCCCGGUCUAGAACGAUCCCUACUUACAUCUUUACUACAAUUGUCAACAAUAGGGUUUAAUUUCCUCAUCGUUGAAUGCUAGUGGAGGAUAGGUUUCCCUAUUACCCUCAAUUUCCUUCAUUUUUCAUGGCUUGGAAUUCCUCAUUGCUACACGCUAGUGAAGGAUGAGCUUUCUUCUUGUCAGUCUUCCAGGAUUUCCUCGUGGAAGGCUUGAUUGACAAGCUGGUCUUCAUCACUACUUCCAGAAGCCUCGAGAACUAGCUGAUUCCUAUGUUUUCCAAGUACACCAUGUAGUCAGCGACAAUGUUGCUGAUACAGAUCUUCACAAGUGCUUCCUCGUCUUUCUCGUUAUAGCAGUCAAGGGCGAGGUCUCGGAAAUGUCUGAAAAAAGUCACAAGAUCUUCUUCAUGUUUUUGACGUGCAUUGUUGAGCUGAGUUAUCGUGACCUUUUCCUUGUGUUGGAAGUACUUUUUACAGAACUUGCUUGCUAGCUCUUCCUAGGUUCAUAUGGAACCUAGUGCAAGUGUGGUGUACCAAGUAUUGGCACGGUCAAUUAGGCUUUUCGAGAACUCCUUGGGACGAAGGUUGUAGUCACUGGUAUGAAGACCUAAAGCAUCAAUGAAAUGGCUUAUAUAUUGAUGAGGGCUACCCUUCAUCUCAUAAAAAGGAACAAGGUUAGUGGUCUCGUAUCCCUUAGGAUAUGGCAUGUGGAGAACGCUGGUAGGAUAUGGUGGCUUAUGAACAUAUU